rnacentral:rRNA from 1 species
AGAGUUUGAUCAUGGCUCAGAUUGAACGCUGGCGGCAGGCCUAACACAUGCAAGUCGAGCGGAAACGAGUUAUCUGAACCUUCGGGGAACGAUAACGGCGUCGAGCGGCGGACGGGUGAGUAAUGCCUAGGAAAUUGCCCUGAUGUGGGGGAUAACCAUUGGAAACGAUGGCUAAUACCGCAUGAUGCCUACGGGCCAAAGAGGGGGACCUUCGGGCCUCUCGCGUCAGGAUAUGCCUAGGUGGGAUUAGCUAGUUGGUGAGGUAAGGGCUCACCAAGGCGACGAUCCCUAGCUGGUCUGAGAGGAUGAUCAGCCACACUGGAACUGAGACACGGUCCAGACUCCUACGGGAGGCAGCAGUGGGGAAUAUUGCACAAUGGGCGCAAGCCUGAUGCAGCCAUGCCGCGUGUGUGAAGAAGGCCUUCGGGUUGUAAAGCACUUUCAGUCGUGAGGAAGGUGGUGUNGUUAAUAGCUGCAUUAUUUGACGUUAGCGACAGAAGAAGCACCGGCUAACUCCGUGCCAGCAGCCGCGGUAAUACGGAGGGUGCGA